GCGGCCGGGAGCCGCGCUGGGAUGGAGGCAGGGAGGCGGUCUGGCUUUGUUAGCCCCGGCCCUUUCCUCUCUCCCCCAUGCGCUCCGGUGUGUGACCGCUCCGCUGGGCUACAGCAGCUCAUCAGCGAAGUCCACAGGGAGCUGCCUCCCCUAUUCCUUCUGUCCCCAGGGAGCUGCCUCCCCUAUUCCUUCGCUGGUGGCGCCCGGCCGGAGGGGUCCCUCAGCCACCCCCGCUGCCCCGCCGAGGGGCGCCGGCCAUGGGCGCUCCCCGCCAGGCCCGCUUGCGCUGGAGAGGGAGAGGGAGAAGGAGGGAGGUGAUUUCUCCUCCGCUUCACCUUCCCUCACACCUCUCCUGGCGUGAAAGCGACGCGCCAGAACAGGCAUUACUUUUGUGCUCAACUCUGCUUCGAAGAUCUCCUCGAGAAAAGUGACACUAAACUUCAGGCAUAUCAGCUGCGCUGCAGCAACUUCAGCCAAGCAGACUGCUUUGAUUGCUUGUUCUCCGGUCUCUUUUUAAAAAUAAAAUGCUAACUCGAGAGCAAGAAAACAAUUCUUAAUUUAGGAUGUGUGAGACUGAUGGAAGUGACUAGCAGGGUGCGAAGGAUUAAAAUCUAUGGACUAUACGGCUCUUAAAAGUUGUCGUAAGUCGUGUUUGCUGACUGAUGUGGAGCUAGUAAAAUACUACCUUCGUUUCCUGCUUGUGGUGCAUAUAACUGAUGCAAAUCAACAACAAGGUUUGCACAGAUAAGCGUCAUUUGCUUACCUAUGUAGUCCCAUGACAGUCAGAGUAUGAGUUACUAUGAAACAACUGACUUCAAGGUUAAAAAGUACCCAUUGAAACUCAAGAUUGUGAGACUAUUCAUGCACAUUCUGCUUGAAUUCCAUGAGAUGUGAGGUGUUUGUGAGCUCAGGUCAGUGACUUGUUUAAUUGCCUAGGUUAUUUGAGGUCAGAGUGUGCCCUGAUUUCAUUCACAUUUUUAUAUACCAGGCAUUUAUAGAGAGUUAGAUACUUUCCUUGAAUCUCAUCCAAGGGUCGUAUGCUUCCUUAUGUGUCUGAUCAACCUCAGUUUCUGGCAGGCCAGGACCAUUUCAGGAGAUGCUGACUCUAAUCAGAGUUGCAGAAAGAAUUUUUUUUUUCCCAAAUAUAAAGUUUGUUUUUUUCAUUUAUAAAUAGAAUGAUUUACGUUUUUAUUAAGUGUUUCAGAUUAGAACUGUUUGUUUUACAAUUAUGAUUAUAUGUUAUCGGUGGUAUAACAAAGCUAAGAAUCACUUCAAGUGGAUCACAAGAAACCUUAUGGGUUUUAAAUUUUGUUUGUAAAACCAAUAUUAUUGAAUUGUUGAUAUGAAAAAUACAAAUUGUUUUCUAGGUUGGCAGUGGUGUUCAAUGAAAGAAAGAAAAUUAAACAAGUAAUAAAAUGUUUUUUUUUUUAUUUUUACACUGUAGAGGGUUUCUUCUCCUCCUAGAUGAACUGUUGUAAGUUUAGCAACCUAGUUAAAAAAGGGAGUAAGAGACAGCGAGAAAGGCAUUGAUGGAGAAUGUUCUUCUUCAUGUAUGUGUGUGUAUGUUCUUACCUUCUUCUCGGGCCUCCUUUUCCUUGCGAUACAAGCAUUUGAGCAAAUAAUUAUUUUCAGGAUCCUGCUGGAAUUCGUGCUUGACACAUAUAUGUAGUAUUAAGCUGCUUUAGUAUUCACUUUUCAGCAGCAGCUGCAGGACAAUGGCAGCAGUAUGUGAAGAAGCCAACUGGGCUUAAAAUGUUUUUCCUUCAUUUUUCUUUCAGAGAGCUUUUACCAUAGGCAAUCUUUGCAGUCAUCUACAUUGCAUAUGAGAUGCAUGCUUUAAAUCAUCUUAGAAAUCUUAUUCUACAGUCUCCCAAACUAUUAAAAAAACUGUUGAGUCUGGAUGAUGAGGUUUUCCAGCCCAUGUGUUGACCAAAGGUUUCCAUGUGUAUGAAACUGCCCCCUUGUCAGUCUUGUGAGUCAAGGACUUAGAUUUUUGGAGAAAUGGGACUGAUAGACAACAGGAAGUUUGAAGAAAAGUAAUGCAAAACAUUUGGUAGCUUUUUUCCCCAUGUCUUCCAUACCUUAAGAUUCUUUUCAGUAGGGAUGAUGUCCAAUAUGGUUUAAAUUAGCAUCACUACCCUAAGCACUCACCUUUCUCAUUUUCUCUCCAUCUCCUUCCCUCCUCCUGCCCAUGCACACCCCUCACUUUCUUCAUGGUGGCUCCAGGCCUCAUUGGUCCUCUCUAAGCCAGCUCAGGUGGCAAAAUCUCUUGAGAUUAAUUUUCCUAACAAUAAAUUGUGACAUAAAGAACUGAUGCCUCAUUUCUCAUAUCUCAUUCUUUUCCAUAGGCUACCAGUGUGCUCUCGGCUUGUCUCACCCUUAAAAUACAGCUUCAGGUUUAGGAUAGACUUUUUCCCAUCAAAAUGUGGCAGCAGGCAGCUGUAUCCCAGUGAAAGCAACAGUUUAUCACCAAGUCUGAAUUCACGUAAGUGUCCUACUAUGUUGCGUCUUGGAUGGCAGAGAAGGAGAAUGCAAGUGGGAUCACUCAGAUAAGUUUUUCUUGGCUUAAAAACAUGCAUUGAACAAAAUUGAGCUGUUUGUACACUCAGGCAUCUUGUUUCGAUAUUCUCUGUAUGUAUGACCUAUCAGACUUGCCUCACAGUUGCUAACUUUUUUUCAAAUGACAAGAAUUAGAAAUUUGGUUUUAGCAAUAGAAAAUCCAAUUUUUUCCUAUCUGAUUUCCUAUAUUUGGGGACUUCUAAAAUCAGUUUUCUGCACCCAGUUUUAAUGAUUUUGGUGUUGCAUGUUGACGUGUUCUCUAUUUUGAUAUGCUCAUGCCUUUUUUCUCAUUAUACUUAAAAGUAUAAUGAAAUCAUGAAAGUAUAAUGAAAUAAUGAUUUCAUUAUUUUUGAGAUCAAACUGUGUAUAUACAAAACUGUAGUUCAGAGGGACAGGUCAGAAACCUAAAUUAUGAGUGUUUAUUUACAACAAAGCUAAUAGUUAUGUCCAUUAUAUCUAUUUCUUUCUUAUUGCUACCUACCUGCCUGGCAUAGGUUAUCAUCACCUUGUAACAACUUCCCUGGCCCUGGCUCUUUGGCCUGAAUUGUGGUGGGGGGUUAGUGCCUUUGUCUUAUUGUUCUUGCAGGCAUGUAAGUGUGAUUUUAUUUUAAGGACCCAAAUGCCUUACUUUCCUGUUCUGUUCAGUAUAUUUCAGAAGGAGAAUUUGUUGUCAUUUUACCAAAAUGUUUAAAUUAUCCUAAUGCUUUACAGGAACUUAGGAACUUGAUGUUUUAGAUUGUAAGUGUUCAGAUGGCCUUGAAAAAAUGUAUGCUUUUAAGGAAAGCCAUAUAUCCAAAAUCACUAAAUUGCUGGUCAUUUUUGUAACUGUGGCCUAAUUUUCUGGUUUUUUUUUAAUUCUUGUACUUUUUUUUUAUUAUGUAAAUUUAUGUAUUCCUUUAUUUGUGUUUUUAGAUAAUAUUGUAUAUUUAUAUUCCUAUGUUCUAGUAUUUUUUAGAAGUACUUAUAUAUCACAUCAUCAUAUAAGGUUUCUAGACAUUGUGUGUUGUUUGUAACACUUCAUUUUGUUUUAGGUUCUUUCAAAUUUUCUGUUGAUAAAUUCCAUUUCUAUUAUAAAAGUUAAUUUAUGUGUUUUGGGGUUUUUUUUUCCCUAAUUUUGGAGAGCCUUCCCCUUCCACCCAGUUUAAUAGUAUUGUUACAAAAAUAACCCCACCAAAAUGAGGUGAAGCAUACAGGAAGUUCUUUCACACAGACAAACCUUUUGUCUCAGAUUGGAGUUAAAUUGGCAUUAUUUACUGACACUGAUGAAAUUAAAGGUGUAGAUGGCAUUAAGAUCUCUUACAGCUACUAAAGAACUAUCAUACAUAAAAAUGAUGUGCUACAUUUUAAUCAGAGUACUGCUAUUGCUUCUGCUUCAUGCUGUGGUUAUGACAUGAUAUGCUAUAUCUCUUAUAAUUAUGGAUAAAAACCAAGUCCUUACUUACUUGGGUGUUUUUCAAAAUACACCAAUUUUGAGUGCCACUCCCACCUCUUUAAUGUCAAUUUAAGAUGAAAUAUACUUCAAAAUUAUUGAUGAGCACUUCUGAAAUUAAGAUUCUUACAUCCACUACAAAGCUUUCUGCUGAUGAUAGUGUUUGUUAAUUUUUAUAGCAAGAGUGCAGCUCAAUAUUUACUUUUACUUUCAAAGUUUUCCAACAAUUAUAUUACAGUAGAAAACAAAAUGACACCUCUAGUAACAGCACAAGGGGACUAAUUUCUAAUCUGUUGAGUAAAGGAGAAAGGGAGGGGACGUUUUAAUUUUUUAUGUACCAAAACCAGAAUGGUCGGGUAAAUUGAGCCUCAAAAAUUGAUUCCUGCUAAUGUCAGAGAAAUAAAAUACCACUUUGCUUCUUGACAAAGAUGCAUAGAAAAACAUGACUAUAGCUAGCUGCAAAUAGCUCUAUACAGUGAGGUUAGUCGAUGUAUCUUAUUCAUUGAUUGCCCAUAUUGCCUGUACAGUCACUUGUAAUCUGCAUUGAGUCAUGUAGAUGUGGAGAUUCAGAACAAAAGGCAAGGUGGAGAACUCGUCCCAGCUCAGACCUCAUCUGUGUAAUCACUGAUGACACAGACAGUCUGAAACUCAGCCCUGAGGACUUUGCCCUGGAGCAGGACACAGCUAACAAAGACUAUAUAUGAAGGCCAUACUCUCAAAGCCAAUGCAUUGGUGCACAUAUGCAUUGUUUCAUCUGCUUGCCCAUACUACUUCAUCAGAAUAAUAUAUAUAAAAAGCCACAGUCGUGUAUUUCUCUUAUAACAGUCAAGCAGAAACUUCGCAGAGGCUUCCUUCUUCAACUUGUAGUGUUUCUUCUGUUAAAAUGUAAAGCAUGUAUCCAGUAAGAAUGUAUGUAUCCAUUUUUAUGGCAAUUGGUGUAAUUCCUUUUUUUUUUUAAGAAAAAAUAAUGAUGUUUGGAACAUUAUAUUCUCCCCUGUAGCCAGAUUUAUUAUAUUCAAUGCCUUAAUUGUUCUUUACAAUGCAGCUUGGCUUUUUAGGCUUUACUUCAGUAUUCACAGCUGGCCUAAAGAGUACACCCAGAGACAAUCAUUUUGGAAAGCAAAUGCCAAAGACAAAUCAGAACAAAUUCAAAUAUCACUUUACUAUACUUAAACAUUCUGAGCUUUGGAUCAUGGUUUUGCCAUAGGUCUGGAGGAUCAAAUGAGAUUUGUGGGAUUUGACUGAGAUUGUGACAAGGGUGUGUGUUGCUCAGUUUUCUGGUUUCUGUUUUUGAAGAAGUGAAACUGGUCCAGAAAAUGUUGCACUUGUACUGCUUUUUCAGAGUAGAGUUCAUGACAAAUAUGAGCCCCAAAAUUUUCAAAUCUAAAACUGGUAAUUUAAAAAUAAGCAAUUUUAUUUUUCAGUUUAUUGUUCUUAAGCAGGACUACUUAAAAGGAAAACAAGCUGUUGUUUAUUUUGUCAUCUUUAAGGGGAAAUAGAGGAAGGAAUAAAAAAGGGAAAAAUAUUUAGAGGAUGACUUACUCUUUCCUUUUACAGGCAUAAAUAUUUUUUAAAACUUAUGAGGUAAUAUUAUUUUUGCAUUUUUUCUUCAGCCCGCUCCUGUUAGAGUUAUAUGAGGACUAAGAAUAGCUGUAGCUAGAAUUUUAUUGAAAAAUCUAAAUAUAAAAGUUUGUUGACAUCAUCAUACUUCAUUAAACCAUAUAAAAGGACGCAAAGUGUAGAUGCUGGCUCAGAAUGCUCACAACAGAAGAUUAUGACAAAUUUGAAAAUGUCUGAAAACACUAGUAGCAGGUCAAAUUCAAGGUUGAGAAGGAAAAGGAAAGUGCAGGACCACUGUACCCCAAAAGUCCAUAGUCACACCAGGUUGGUGUGAGCUAAAACCACAUCUUUAGUGCAUGAGUGCAUGAAACCCCUGAUUUACUGAUACUACAAUGUGAAUAGCCCAGCAUUUUCUGCUGCAUUAGUUCCAUACCAGGCAGUUUGUGUAUUUUCCUAAGCCUACUGACAUAACAGCACCGGCCACGUUGUGAAAUGUGUCGGACCUUGGCCUCCACCGUUCUGCUGCCAAACAGAAGGAAACAGUAGCUGUACACUGUGAUACUGUUGGAUGGGAGUUUUAUCCCCUCCCUGUGUAUGCAGAUACACACACUGAGUUGGAUACAGCACUCUAAAGAACAUCAUUUCUUUGCAAACACAGUACAGGUGUCCCACGUUUUGCUGCUUGCAUCAGUGAUGGUCAAGUAUAGAAGGAAAAGCAGGGGCCUGGAAUAUGUAUCAGGUCCUGAUGAAACAGAUGAAGUUCUGAACAGAGUAAAAUAAGGAAACAGAAGAAUAUGCUAUCCAUCUUCAUUCCUCUGCACAUAUUUUUUGAGAAAUGCUAGCCAACAGCUUGUCAUUUCACUGAGACAUAGCUGUGCAGUGAUACAGCUUUCAGACAGUUAAAUGGGCAGCUUGCAUCUAAAAGAGAACUCUGGGAAGAACAAUCUGAAACCAAACCUCUCACUUUGAAGCAUCACCACCUAAAUGUUAUUUAAUCCGUAAAUAGUGAGGUGAUAUGAACCCACAGCCAUCUAAAGUGAGAGCCAGCAACAGACCCCUGACUUGUGAAAAUUACAAGAUUGAGAUCUAAGAAAGUGAUUUGUGGCUCAUAUUGGACAAACAAUUAUCUAGCACUAGUCCCAGAGAAUCUACUCUGCUUUCUGAAAGGGUCACACAGCUAAAAUGGAUUCUUAGUGAAAUUAGUUAUUUUGUAAUUGUAGAGCUAAUUAAUUUGUAAAGAGAGACCUGUUGGCACUGGAAACAAUAUUCACAUUCAUCAGAUACAGCCUUUUUAUUGAAAGAGCUGUUGAACUACUUUAGGCUGUCUGAACCUCUCUACACCUGUCUAAUCCAGGUGUCUUCCAGUGUCUAUGGAAAAUAUUUGCCUAGCAAAAACGAGAUAAUUUCAAGGCAUGUUUUUUUGACAAAUGUCUCUCUUAGAGAUAAGUAUACAUCUGCUUCCUUCUGGUGAUGCCUUAGGUUUUAGCUUUUAUGUUUUUCAGAUUCUGUACUGCUUUAGUGUGUAGUUCUGAGCUUCAUAUUAAGGGAUGGUAAGCUCUCUUCACAGAGUAGGUAGAAAAAAAAAUUCCUUUUCUAGCUGGGGACCAAGGACAACUGGACCAAAUCUCAGGCCCAAGAGCAUAAACAACGUAGACUGAAGAGAGAAAAACAAGAAGGGUGGGACUUCAUAAGCUAAAGCUAUAAUUGGACAAUUAACUCCAAUAUGCUAAUGGACCAGAACUUAUAAAAGUGUCUCAUGACUGGUUGUCCAUUUUGUGACCAUUUUGGUUCAUCCUGGGUGUAGCCCUGGCUGGGGUCUUGUACUACCCAAGGUGUAUCCAUUGAAGCUUUUUAAUAAAUACCUGCUUUAACUUUGUCUAGUCUCUGUUCUAGGUCAGCCUUUACAAGGCAUAACAGGCAGUGAACAAAGCAAUAGAAAGAUACUGGGAUACUCUUCUCUCUGCUCCUGACAUUAGCAAUGGGAAGGUAUAUAUAGCUAGGUGGCCCUUUUGCUACAUCCUAAAUUCAAUAUACAGGAAUUAAAUCACUAAAAAAACCAUAACCAAGAUAAAAACCAGACCAUAAACCAAAUGAAAACUAAAAAAUAAUGAGGCAGAAAACCUUCAAAAAUAUCAUCAUGCAAGGAAAUGCAGAUUUCUAUUCCAUAAAGUGAAGAAGAGAAACAUUGUCUAACAUAAACAGUGCUAGCUCUCCCAGCAGCCACCAUUACAUUAUUCAUUA